UCUAUUCUAUAUCGGUGGUUAGGACACGCAUCAGUAAUAUACACAACAAAUAUACACAUUGGUCAGUGCCCGACCAAAGUGUAGUGGCGGUUGGUUUGGUUUCGGUUAGGACAAACGCCCUAUCACAAAUCCCCUGUGUGAGUGCGUGCGUCCUUGCCGCAUCUCGUCCACUAGGUGAACGACGCGUCUGCAUUCGUCGUGUGCGCCAUUUCGUCAUGUUAAAGCAACUUUUGUAACUUGUAAUAAAUGCACGAGCAAACUAUUUUAACACCGACAGUUUAAAUACAGAUAUACUAAUUUCGUCUGCUACUCGAAUCUGUGUUUCAGGUUGACUGGUUCGAACUGUUUCCUGCAGAGGGCGUCUGCGAUGUCACUCAUCUCAUCGUCAAAGUAAUUCUUCCAGUCGCCAACU